CCUACGGGGGGCUGCAGUGGGGAAUAUUGGACAAUGGGGGGAACCCUGAUCCAGCCAUGCCGCGUGUGUGAAGAAGGCCCUCGGGUUGUAAAGCACUUUCAGUGAGGAAGAACGCCUGGUGGUUAAUACCCAUCAGGAAAGACAUCACUCACAGAAGAAGCACCGGCUAACUCCGUGCCAGCAGCCGCGGUAAUACGGAGGGUGCGAGCGUUAAUCGGAAUUACUGGGCGUAAAGCGCGCGUAGGUGGCUUGAUAAGCCGGUUGUGAAAGCCCCGGGCUCAACCUGGGAACGGCAUCCGGAACUGUCAAGCUAGAGUGCAAGAGAGGAAGGUAGAAUUCCCGGUGUAGCGGUGAAAUGCGUAGAGAUCGGGAGGAAUACCAGUGGCGAAGGCGGCCUUCUGGACUGACACUGACACUGAGGUGCGAAAGCGUGGGUAGCAAACAGGAUUAGAUACCCCGGUAGUC
rnacentral:rRNA from 1 species